UUGGAAAAACUCUGGCACAACAUUGUGCCGGAUUUUGGCUUCUUGGAUUUAGACCUAUAAAAACAAAUCAAAUCUCAGAUGGUGCAUUCCAUCAAAUUAAAGAAAUGAUUUUAAAAAAUAAUUGCAAAUGAAGCUAAUUUGGAAAACAAACCUGGACAACCUUUUCCAGAAUUCCAAACAAACUAUGCCUGAGAGGAACUGUGCAUUGGGUUAAUAUUGAUAAGGUUGGAGCAACCAUAUAAAUACCUAGCCCCCAUUAUCCUGAACAAUUUUUCGACCCAUGAGUCCCUUGUAUAUGACACAGAAGGGCCAACCAAGCUACAACAUUGAUCACAGCAAAUGUCUAUUUGAUGUCUCUCAGCACUUCUGUGGUUUCAUUUUCACUAAAGCGAUGGACAAAAGAACAGCUUAUCUUUAUAUUCUUAUCUAUCAUGCCAUACUCCAUAUGUAAGAAAUUUGAUAUAAAAAGCAAAAGGUAUUCGUUUCUGUAGCAACUUCCAUUUAAAACACAUUUAAAAACCCAUAUUUCCUUAAGGAACCAUGAUCUNNNNNNNNNNNNNNNNNNNNNNNNNNNNNNNNNNGGCCUGUCUUGAUGCAUGCAUGCUGUCUCCGUGGAUAUCCAACUAUUGUGCAACCGGGGGAUGCCUGGAUUGCACAAUUUCCCCAAAAAGAGAAAAAGAAAGGGUGUUGGAAUCCUUUUAAAAGGUGAUUUCUACUGUUCCUAUUUUCUUUGGAUGAUGCAAUCCCUGCAUCUGCAGUUGCACUAACUUUUUUUUUUUUUCCUCCCUGCAUCUACGCCCCUGCUCAACUUUAGUCUAUACAUGCAAGUGUGUCCAAAUAAGCCGACCAACUUAUUUGAAAUGCAAAAUAAACACAUCUUUGGAACAAUUUCAGUUGCGAAAGCAUGGAAAAAUAUAUCAAAAGCAAAUUUAAUUAUAAAAUAUUUAAAAGCAUGGUGUUGAUAUUAGAAUCAACCUUUUCCAAUUCAAAUUUGUUGGACAAUAGUCUCUUGAUGCCACUCCCAUCAAAGGUGUUUUCACUGUGGGCAACGAUGACAGGGUGUCCUUGGAGGUGCUGGAUGAUGCUGUUCAAAAGCUUCUUAAAUUCUUCUAAGAAGAUCUCUUGAGAAGCAGGCUGUUCAAGCCGGCCGGUAGAAAGUGAUUGUAAUGCAGGCUCCACAAUGUUGCUCAUGACCUAAAAUGCAUAAAAAAUAUGGCUUGUUAUAGAAAUACAAAGCCAUAGAAACAUGUCACGAGCUUCUAAGUUUGAUGGAUCUGUGUUCCCAUGGUACGCCAUACUGCAUACCGUACAAAUUUGGUGCUGGUACAUGGUACAGAAGACGUACCGAUACUCAGUAUACCGAACAAUCUCUUAUACCGGGCAUACCAGUAUAGUGACAUGAUGGCACUGAUAUAGAACUCAGUACCAAGACAACGUACCAUGCAUGUUCCACUAUGAAGAUAUGGGGUCAUAUGCUGCAAAUAAGCAGACUAGAUGUGCUUAAUAGUCCUCGCAACAUUGAGGAAAAGUGUAAACGUAGUAACUCCUUAUCAUAUCAUAGGCAAGAUAUGAGUGCAAGUGCAUAUAGAGAUAUAUUAAGUGCUCUCAAUUACCCAAGAGUCAGAAGCUGGUGGCAUGCCAUGCUCAACCGUGAGUUGUUGAAGACCCACUGUCAAGAGCUUGUGGAGAGACUCAUUUGCCGACUCCACUGAGAAUAUGGCAAUUGCCUCUGGUUCAAAUCUUGGGCUCUCAACAAACUCCUUCAGAUCUUCUCCAUCAAUCCUCAAGAUCACGAUUGGAUCCCUUUUAAGCCCAGCUGCCAUGCCCAACAAAAUAUCAGAAAGCACCUCCUUGAACUCGGACUUGCUCGCUACUUCUCGCUUUCCAUGUGUGAAUUCAUUCAAAACCUUCAGAUAAUAGUACAGAGCCAUCAUCGCUUACGUAGAUUAAUGCACAAAGAUUAUAAGUUAAAUAAAUUCUACCCUUACUCAUUCUCCAUUUGGGAAGCUAAAUUUGCAAAUUGCAGAGAAUGUAGAAACAGAGCUAUAAGAAUCAUAUUACAAGAUGCCAGUCUAUGGUGAUCACCAUCUCAAAUCAAAAUACAGACUGAAUCCAGGCUGUUUAAUGGUGAACAAAAGAGAGCAUUACUUGAUCAUCUCAUCCAUAUGGUAAAGAAAGUCUUGCAUCGAUCCAGGCUAAGCAUGGAGUAUAUCCUACAAUAGGUCUGGUAGUGGCUAAAAUAAGCUGAUGGAUAUUCCAUUCAGUGGAUGGAUGUAGAUUAAACAUACUCUUUAGAUAUAUGCACUUGGAGAUGAUCUGCUUGUUUAGGUGCUAGGUACUUAGUUUCAUUUCUGAAGUGCAAAUCAAAAUUGAUCCACAGCAUUCUUUUGCUAAGGUGAUUUUUAAGGUUCACAGUUCAUUUGUGCUUUCACUAUGACCCGCACAAUGUGAGACAUUGGACCAAACCAAAAGGAAACAACUUGCCACAAUGAUUCUGUUCUUUUUCCAAGGGCAAAUUAUAUCCUGCACCAUAUGCAUCAACAUAACCAUGCACCAUAUUAUCCCAUUUUUAUGGGUCAUCAUGGAGCCUUCAGAUAUAAAAUGUUCUGAUUGGUGCGGUGCACGGCCAUAUGGUGCGUGCGGUCCAAGAUAUAAUAAUUUUUCUUUUUUAGGACAGGUAGAGCAUGAGUUGCAUCACUGCCAUGUAACCCUGAGAAGACAUGUUGCUGGUGCAAAAUAUAAUAAUUUUUUUAUUAUUAUUUGAGAUGCCGUUACAUUCCAAAUGGUUUGAAAUUUCGCGCAGGCACCUUCCAGAACGACCCAGCCGUGUGGUCAGGAAUUGUUGGCAGUUGGAAACCUAAGUAGAGGAUUUGUCGUUAAUCGCCGUAACCCCAAAUAUCCAAAAGCGUCCUAAUUUCAGCAGGGCCCACUCCAUACGCACAUGACGCAAACUCCAGGUGUCGGCUUGGUGGCCCUAUUAAGACUAAACUGUACAGUAGCCUAAUCAGCUGAUUCGCUCUAAUAUCCGGAUGGAGAUGGGACAAAGAGGAGGAGAAUAUUCCGAGGAGAUGGUGGUGGUGGUGGUGGUGGAGAGGGGUACCUCAGAGUAGAUGUGGUCGGAGUCCGGCGAGGUGCCCUGGGCCGAGAGGCCGAGGGCGGCGCCGAUGUUGACAACGGCAGGCUGGAGCUCCUCGAGGGAGAGCUUGCCGUCAUCGUUGACAUCCAGCUCCUGGAACUUGUGCUCCACGAAGCUGGUGAAUGCCUCCUUGUUCUCCACCAGCUUCCUUAUCUUCGUCCCGUCCAGCACCACCUUCUUCUCUUCCCCUCCCCUCCUCCUCUCCUCGCUCUUCCUCCUCCGCAACCAACUCGCCAUUUCCCCACUCCCUCCCCAACUCUAUUUAUUAAAGGUGGCAGAGAUUGAUAACAAGGAAAAGGGAAAACAAGGAAGGGUGCAGGGAGUGUGAGUCCUGUGAUCUCCUUCCUUGGCCCUUCCCCUGCCCUUAAUUAUAUCUCCUCUCCCUCUCCCUCUCUAGUUUUUCUUGGCUUUGUGCUUUGGGGUGAUUAGCGUGAAGAGGGGGACUCUGGGUUUGUGGAGGGAAAUGAGCGGAGGGAAAACACGCAACGGACAUCGGCCAGCCACUAACCCUGGGUUUGGGACACGUGGGGAUGGGCGGCUUCAGCUUGGCUCUUUUUUUUUGUUAAAUAGGAUAAAUUAAACUAAUUGAUUGUAAAUAAAUGCGUGGAAGCCAACAAACAAAAUAUUCAGCAGAGAAAGAUUUAUCAUAAAAUCAUACCAUCCAAUCGACUAUAUUAUUAAUUUUUCUAUUACAUAUAUAUAUAAAAUAAUAGCAUACAUAAUAAAAUAUAGUGUGUGUAUCAAACACCGAUAAUUUUUUAAAAAAGAAUAAAAUCAAAUAUCAGUGGAUGAUGAAUCCAUCUAAUAAAUUUUAUAUAAUUUCUCUUCGAGCAAAUAUGGAGCAUCGUAAGCAUUUGAACAAAAUAAAAGAAAAGUAGAGUCUUACUAGCAUUUCUAAUAAUAAAGCCUACCCCAUCAAAACUUUUUUUUCCUUUAAUUUUGAAGGAAUAGGAGCCGAUGCCCCCCCCCCCCUCCCAAAGAAAAAAAAAUCUGUGUUAUUUUAAAAUUUUUUUUGCAUAAAUAUCUUUCUAAAUAUCGAAUUUUAUAAAAAUAUCUUUCCAAAUUGAUAUUUACAUGUAUACCAUCGUAAAACACUUAUUUUACUAUUUUAUUUUUUUAUCUUUAUUUUUGCAUAUGUACUUACACCAUCUAAUGCUAUUAAAAAAUUAACGGUUUCAAAUAAAAAUGAUGAAAAUAUUGUUAAUGAGUAGAUGUGCAAAAAAAAUAUUUAUGAGACAAUCAUGGUGAGAGACAAAAAGUAAUUUCAUAAUUUUAUAUUAUUUUUAAUUAAAAUAGAUAUAGUUUUUAUUAACGGCGUUAGAAGAAUCGUUAUAUUAAAAAAAAUUUGUGCAAAAAUAAUAUUUUAUAAUAAUAAAAAAUAAAUAUAAAUUUUUAAAAAUAUUUAUAUAAAUUUAAAUUUUUAGAAAGAUAUUUAUUAAAAAAAAUAUGUGGAAGUAAAUCGUGUCAUCCUCCAAAAGGGGUGGGAGAACAUAAUUGCCAAAUCGUCCCUUGUCGCCAUUCCCAACCAUCCCUAUCGGUGUGUGGGGAAAAAGAUUAUUAUUUGCCUACCAGCGCGUGACCGCAGUGCAGCGUUGGGUGGAUGAGAGCUGGCCGCAAUGCUAAUGGGAUGGACAAUAUAGUUUGAGCCCAUAACUCACUCAUAAGGACCUUUCUAGCAUUCUCUCUUCCAUGGAAACUUCUUCUCUGUCACCACUAAAGUGGUAGCCCAAUGGGAGCAUGGCCUUACUUCCAACCAAGUGGUUUCGAGUUCGAAACGCAUGGGCGUCGAUUAAAUUGUGGAGACCGGAUGCUCUAUGCUUGAACACGAAGUCUAGAAGAGCGUAUCACUCUGCUGGUAGCUUCGGUGGUGCCCAGAUGUGACGUACUCAUACGUGGUAUUCGUGCCAGAGCCCAGAAAGGUAAUCGAGGUGGGGGCCCAGUGGAAACUACUACGCGGGGGUGGGCUUGUCCCUUUGUCCCCCCCUUCCUCUUUUUUUCAGCACAAAAAAAAAACUUUUCCCAAUUUGGAUGAUUGGUGCCCCAAUCAAAUGAACAAUUAUCAAACUUCUAAUAAAAAACUUCUGGAUUAUACACUCCGUUGUAUUAAAAAUAACAUUUCGUGUCAAAGUAAGCAGCUGAUGAAGGUUGUUGACUGUGAGAAUUGUCUACGUCACAUUGGGGACAUGGAAACAUACAUACAUCUAUUUGGGGAGGUUUUGCAGGAAUGUAAAAAUCAAAUAUACAUGAAAUUGCUGGCAAUGCAAGACAUUGUUCUAGUUAUACAACAUGUCUUGCGGUAGUCAAAAUGGCAAGGUUUAGGAUCUAUUAAGACAACUUUUUUUUUUUUUUUUUCCGAUCGACUCGCUCUGAAGCUAUUUAUGAAUAUUUUUGAAUAUAAACCUCUUCUCUGAUUGCGCCAACAUUAUAACUUUAUGAGCCCGGCCCUUCCCCCCUCCAAACCGGGGGGGGGGAAAAAAAAAGUGUGCCCGUGUCACGAGACUAUUGGAUUCUUAUACCAUGAAUUCAAUACAACCAAUCCCUCCCUCCCACUGUUCCACAUGGCCUAGAUCUUUGUGCGUGCUGUAUUUGUGUUCCCUGGUAUUACAGGUUGCGUGCGCUCGUUUCGUUGCACUCUUGAGUUGCCUCCAAAACCAAAGAAGGAUCGACCUUCCUUCGCGCGAAUCUACCGUUGGACCGCGCAAUAGCCACUUCGAGAUCAGUGCAUAUGGACGAUGGAAGAGUUCGAAUGCUUUGAGAACUGUGCGGGGCUCGAUCGAACGGUCGAUGUCGCAAAAGAUGCAACCCGAAUCGCUGCCAAACAGAAGGCAACGUGCAUCCGUCUUCCGCCGCCAAGUCAAAAAAUAUAAAAAUAAAACCCAAAUCCCGCCCCCGGUCUAAUUUCCCCCCUCCCCUCCCGUCCCUUUUGUUUUUUCCCUCUCUCCCCCUUCAAAACCCUACCCCCGCCCCUUCCUCCCUUCCCUCUUCUCGCUCGCCAUGUCCGAGGUCGAGGGCUCCAGCCUCCCGCCGACCGAGCUCCGGCUUCCGUCGCCCCACCAGCACGCGCAACAGAUCCUCCGCCCCGCCUCCCACCGCCACUUCCCCUUCUCCCCCGCCCUCGCCCUCGAUCCGCACCUCCUCCCCCGCCGAUCGCCCGGACCCACCGACAAGGACCGCAUCGCCGCCCCCGACGCCUCCGUGAGUGCUGCCAUUCUCGCUCUCCACUUUCUUGCUUUGCUGCUGUCGUCUUCUUGGUUUUCUGUCUUUCGUCUAUUCUCUUCCGAUCUUUCAUGAUCAUCUGGACCUUUCUCCCUUUCACUUAUUCCCUUGUUCUGUUUCGAUCACCUCUUGAUUCACGGCCAUAUGGUUUUUGAUUUUCUUUUGUUUUUCUCUCCUUGGAAUGAUGUUCUUGGAAUUGUUUGCUUGAUGAUGACGAUGAUGAUCUAUUGUUGUUUUGAUUCCACGAGGUUUUAUAGUUUAUGGAAUCGGGGUAUUUUUUCCUCUAGGUUUUGUGAUCUGAGAUUAUAUAUCAUCCUGUGGAGAGAUAGGGAAACAUGAUGCCUUUGACGAGUCUUGUGGCGCAACACUAAAGGUCAAGAAAAAAGAAAAGAAAAGAAAGAAAAAAGGCCUUCUGAACAAAUUCUUAUGCGGUAUAUGUGUGUAUUGUUCUGGGUGACGGAGGGGAUUUUUGAUAUAUCCUAUGGUUUUCAAGUUGGCACUAUCUUAUGUUCCAGCGGCACAAUGCAUCAGAAUGUUGAUUUCAUGCUUUGAAUAUGUUUAUGAAGUAGAGCAUCCUAGGGCUGUUUUGGGCAAUAGAGGAGUUUUCACCACUGUACUGACAAAGUUAUUGUGCUAGACCCUUAGACAAAUGUCAUAUCGUGCAAGGAGAAGUCGUAGGCCAUAAGAGUAUAGCUGCUAACACUGUGUAGAUUGUAGACAGAGGUGAUGGGUGGUGGACUUUGCUGAAUGUGUAUGUGGUCUCCCAGGAGGUUGUUUUACAACUUUAAUCCACAAUUAACUGUAGACUGAAUUUAUUGAGCCUCUUUUUCCAGCAAUUUUCUUCCUUAAAUGUGAUUUACCAUCAGAGUCCAUUGGGAAUUUGCCAAGCAAAAGUUUUCAAUUGAAUUCUGAUUCUCAUGUCUAUGGAAGAUGUGCUAGAAUAUUAGAUGCAGUGACUAUUUGCAGAGGUGAACGUGUUUAUUGUUCAACAAAAGGCUAACUAACAACAGCAUACAAGAAUGAUGUGAUUGACUGACACAAUAUGAUUGAAUUUUUCAGAUUUCACAUUUGUAAAUUAUUGACAAUGAAUUCUUAGUUUUGAUUAUUUUUCCAUGUGACCUGUAGAUUUGCAGCUGCAUAUGUGCAGACUUAAUAAAUUGGUUGCUAAGUGACCUGAUUUUGUGAUGGUUACAUGCCAUUUGUUUGCUUGAUGCCUGUUGCUGUAGUCAAUAAUCAUGCAUUGCAUCAGUUUGAUCUUCACAUCUUUGAUUGCACUUAAGUAUGUGCACUAAAAGAUAAUUGAAGAGAUUUUACACAUUUGGUGGAGAUUGUAGUCUACUUGCUAAAUAUCGAAACUGCAAAAGUUCGGUGCAAUAUGUUUAUAUAGACUGUCACAAUAUAUUGUCUGCUCAACAGAAAUACUGAGAUGCUCACCAUUUUCCACUUGCACAGAAUUUUUUGGAAUAACUAUAAAAGACAUUUGAUGGAUUCUCUUGCAUAUAAUUCAUGUCAAUGUCUGCAAUAGCGUUGCAUACAUGUGUUUAUUUCUUCCCUUUGAUGUUUAACUUAGAGCUUACGAAGUAACACUUCAAGACUGCCUUUAUUAAUACUGAAAGAUUGGCACACAUAUUGGUAGGUUGCAUCAGUUUAUGCAAAAAGAAUUUGUGUGACAUGCAAAAUGUGACAAAAGUGGCAUGUGUGGAAGAACUUAAAGACUGAACUCAAAAUUAGGAAUGCGAAUAGCUCUGCAUGUUAUUUGGUCCUUGGUUUCUGUAUCGUAAAUGGGUGCAUCAUUAAGUAUUUUGAUUCUUUAUAUCUAAUGGCUAUCCGAAUUAUGCUCUGUUUGUAAAAUAAACUUGGAUGCCUAUAUAUGUUAUAGUAUGGCUAUCUAUUGUCAUUGGGUGACUCAGUGAGUUGCUUAUGGGUGCCUAGGUUAGGAUUUUGGACAUUUCAAGUGAUUUGCGUAAUAUGUCAUGUUUUGAGUUUUAUACAUAUGGAUAUAAAAUUUGUGUAAUAUGUUAUAUUUUGAAUUUUACGUGUUGGAAACUUUGGAAGACCUCAAAAUUGGCAUCUGUGCCAAGUGUCUCAGUAACACCAUGAUGAAAGCGACAAAAAUGCAAGACUUUUUUAGAAGGGUCCGUUACUUCAGGCUUUUAUUGUUCAACACUUGAAAUAGUUGAGCAGUUAAAAGUAACAAGUCAAAAUAUGAUGACUUCUAAUAAGAUCCUGAAUAAAUCAUGACAAGAGCCAGCACUAUUGGCUAACAUAAGCAGGAGACUCCAUUUCUAGGAUUUCUAGUAGUGUUGUCCAUUCAUGUCACUCUUUCACUGUCCAGAAAUAUGGGGACUCUGGAAACCCUAAAAUUUGAAGUAUCAAGCAACAUUAAUGUUUUGAUAUCAGAGAUUGACAACCUCUUAAAAAAAUUUUUUAAGGUAAAACCAACUUAUGUUAUCUUAUCUAUCAUGACAUUUUGUUUUCUGAUUCAUAUUGCUAUUGGUCAUAAUUUGGGUGGAAGAAUUCUAAGUGCUGUGCUCUUCUUUUAAUAUAGAUAUGUUUGGAAGCCCACCCCUUGACAGUUCUGGCCAUGCAGGUGCUCUGGCUAUCUAGCUUUAAUUUGUUUCUAAGCCAUUUUUGCUUGUCCUUUUUUGAGAUGCACUGCUCUUUGAGUCAACAUUCCUGCUUACCUCGUAUAAUGAAUAAAAAUUUAUUAGUAGUAAUCUUACGGUGACAACUACAGAGAGAUGCACAAGUAUGCAAGAGUACACUUCUUGAUUUGUUUUUCCCGUGAUCUCUGAAAGUAAUGUUAACUUCUGUGUCCUUUUAUGCCUUUUCUUUUGGAUCCAGCAUCAAUUAUUUGUUAUGGAUAUGCAUUUCAUUUUUUUCAGGUAAAAAAACAAACAAAUGGAACAGAAAUAAAGAAAGUUGAGAGUGGUGAAGGGCCUAUUGGACAAAGGCAGAAGGAGGAAACCGGAUCUCAUAUACUUCCAACUGAGUCAGGAACAGGUGUCAAGUGUCCACGAAAACCACAGCAUUCAAAACAUAAAAAAGCAGUACAGCAGCAGUUGCCUGGACUAGCUGAGGGUGAUUCCUGUGGAACCUAUGGUUGUUGCACUUCAUGCUUCCAUAUGCCAUAUUGGUUCCACAUAUGAUGCGGACAGUGUUCAUAGCUUAUUUGGUUGACAAUGGCAUUUAGUUCGGUUUUGCUUACCUGUUAGGAUUAAAGAGAAAUAAAAGGGGCAUUUUUGUGCUCUUACAAAAUAACAUAUGAUAAUAAUUGGCAAUGCUACAUUUGUGCAGGAAACGUUUCAAAUAUCUUAAAUCCUAGCAGCUGCCGCUACGACAGUUCUCUAGGUGAAUGUUGCAUUGAGAUAGUUCUGAGGAUGAUUGGAUCAGAAUCUUCUGUUAUUAUGUUCUUGUGAAGCACUCUUGGAUGUUUUUUGAGGGUUAAUAUGACUUGAUAGGUUUGUUGACAAAGAAAUUCGUCAAUCUGCUUCAGCAAGCUGAUGAUGGGACUCUUGAUUUGAACAGAGCAGCAGAAAUUUUGGAUGUAUGACUCUUGUGAUGCUUCAGAUGUAUCGUCUUCCAUUUUUCUAAGUUUCUCAAUUAUUGACUUCCUUGUGCCAAGAAUGAGCUGUUUGUAAGUUCUCUGGAUAUUCUUUUCAAUUGCUCUGGCAGGUCCAAAAGAGGAGGAUUUAUGAUAUAACAAAUGUUCUUGAAGGAGUAGGAUUGAUUGAAAAAAACUUGAAGAAUAGGAUAAGUUGCAAGUAUUCACUAGAAUCCUUACUUUUUUCUUCCCUUCAUUAAUUAAAGUGAUUUACUAACAAAAACAUCUGUGAAAAGGGGAAUUGAUAUGUCAAGGCCCAAGGAGAUGGAUGAUCAAGUUGCUGCAUUGAAGGUACCCAUUUAAUGUCAAAUACUGUUAAAGGAACCACUCCCUCUUCUCCUGCCCCCAUUUCUCAGUUUGAUAGUUUUUUUUUGAGUUUGCUUUUAGUUUGAAAUAACUUGCAUUGAUGAAGCAAACUUGUAACAUAUUUUAUCAGCAGCUUUUUCAUGCUUUCUGGGAGCUAGAUAAGAGAAUACACUGUUAUCUUAGUGCAUCUUGAUAUUGGAAAGACUUCCUCCUAGCUGUAUUUCUAAUUUGUUUUGCUCUAGCCUAUGUUAGAAGAUAUUUCUGAUCAUCUUAGUGGUUUCCCCAAUGAGCAUAUAGUGAGUUGCACUUUUAGUUUCCCCUGUGUAGUCUAUACUUGUCAUUAUAGUACCUCUGAAAUGGUGCUUUAUUUGGCAUGUGUAUUUGUUUGUUUUAUUUUUGUUCUGGGAUGUUAAUAUCUUUAGGAUGAUCGAGUUAAUCUUUCGUGCUCAAAUUGAGAUGUGCCAAAUGCCACCCGCCCCUUUAGCCUCGGCAUCUUGGGCCUCUCCCUCUUCAAGUAUUGGUACCUUUUUCCCAUUAAAAUAUUUACCUCGCUAAAUAUUUACCUUCUUCUAAUAAACGCAUGAUGGCUCUGUAAUUUGUUCUCAUAAGAAAACAUGCUCAGCAUUCAAGAUAACCAUGUUUGGAAAUGUAACUAUGGGUUACCUUGAUUUUCAACAUUUGACGAAUUUAGAGUCGAGACACAUUGUUUUGUAAUAUGUUCAAUAUGUGCUUGGGCUUUCAAAGGAAAAAAAAGGAAAAGGAAAAUCUCAAAUGUCAAUGAUUGGUGUGAACUAAAGAGAGCAGUUAACUUAUUCGGGAGCAAUAUUAAGUUUAGAUAUUUUAUGUCUGAUGGUGGUGAGGUUUGGCAACUUUAGGGGCUAGGCUUUUCUUUAGUGGUACUUAAUGGAGCUGGUACUAGAUUAUAACCCUGUAAUCCUAUACAGCCCCAUAUUGAUGAGUUGAUGAGUUUCACACCGUGAUGAAUAGGGAUAUUCAUCCCAAAGCUAAAAGCUCUCACUAACUUUUCCUCUUCUUGCGUGUAGACUUCCACUUAAAUAGCUGUGGAGGACAGAUGUUAGGGGUGGAGCUGUAUCAAAUAGAGUGGAAUUUAUUAACAUGCCAUAAAAAGGAUUUAAGAAGUGGAAGUGUUCAGGUAUGUGCUAGUGCAUAACAUGUAUGUCACCAAAUUGUAUAACUAUAAGGUGCAAAAUACAAAAUUAUUGAAGGGGCUAGUUGAAACAAAUAAGUCGGAGAUGGUUUCAAUUAUGAAAUAUCUAGAGUUCAAUAACUCUAAGAAAGGAUAAAACCAUAAAAAAACCCACAUACAAAGGAGGAAAUGAAAUUUGCAGUAGAGUUAUGCAGUGAAGACCCUUUUUUGGUGGUUCCAUGGAAAUGAUUGGAUUUUAGGGACAAUCCCAUGUUUUCUAGCAUUGACUUUUAUAAAGUUUCAGAUAUAUCAUUGAAAAGCAUACUGGAUCAUGAUGUAAAAUUAGAAUGGGAACUUAUAUACAAUGCUAUGGUAGACCGUCGUGUUUUGUAGUUGAUGAGUGCACUGAGUACAAUAAAGGAAUUGCACAUACAAAGUUAGUACAUGGAAGGCUGACUAUUGUCAUGUAAAUUUCAUGUUUAUAAUAGAAGUUAAGAGUAGUGGAAGGUUGGAUGCAUGGCACUUGUUCAACUUGUUAUCAGUUUUGCUAGAUCACUCACCAUUUGAGAUCUUUAAAAGCCCACGAGGAUAUUAACUCUCUUAUUUAUAGCUAUAGGAUGAUUACAGAAGCUAUGUAGCAAUGAGUGAUUAAUCAUAUAACAUUGUUCAUCAUGACUUCAAGUUACUAGUAUUGGAUGAUAACAUAGUAUUUUGCAAUUCUUAUUCUUUAGGACUCUUGAUAUGCCAAUAAAUUAAAGGGACAUUGAUAUUUUAAUGUGUAAGGCUGUUAUUGUAGGGUAGGAAGGUAGGGUGUGUGUUGUAAGACAUUGUAACUUGGAGAUGGUGAUUCGAAUGACUUUAUGUUGUAGGCUGCAAGGAUGUGGGUUGUAAUGGCAACGAUGUGCAGUGUCUAGCUGAAUGAAAAUUAAUCUCUCCUCUAGAGAAAAGUAAUGCUUAUUGUUGGAAAAGUUGUUCCUUAGGGCUAAAGUAUGAUGGGAUAUGCUUCUUGAGAAUAUCAGAUGUGGGGGUUUUAUUUUAGGACUUUUAACAUAAAGAUCAGAGUAAAUGGUGGAAAUUUGAGAUUAUGGAUGUGCUGAAGCAUUUGGCAAAUAUAGCCACUUCAAUAGAUUCUAAUAGUGCAUUUUUUUAUAUUUAAACUUGAUUAUGUAAAAAAAAUUGAACAUGCAUCAAAAGAUGAAUUUUAAAGUAGCUCUCUUGUAUUUUGCUGAUUUUCGCAAGUCCAAGACGAAAACAGUAGUCAUCGAUCCGGUUAAGUUAGUUGAUGACAUACCGAUUGGGUAAGAUGACAGCGAGACAUGUGAGCCAUCAAAUUCGGGUUUGCCUAGCGCGUCUCGCGAUUUCAGCAACAAUGAUCAUGAUAGUUCCACUGAUGUGUAUGGAGAUUAAGGUGAACAGUCUAGAGGUGGUGAUGGUUAUUUUCAAUGGCUCAUUCCAUUAACCAGUGAGGCGGAGUUCAUGCAUGCCAUGUAGAAUCAGGACCACCAUACCUGAACAAAAUUAAGAUUUUAUAAAGAGAUGCUGUCCUAUAUAAGAAGAGCAUUCAAGGGUGGUGCACAUAAGUUCAGGUUUAUGGGUAUAGAUACUUUGAGAAAUUGGAGAGUCAAUUGAGAGAAACUAUGUGCAGAGGUAGGAGGAUUAUAUGCAUACCUGAAACAUUAGAGAUCAAACUGAUGGCAAAAGUUAGACGGAAAGUGAAAGGAAAUGAGAAAAGAUUCUAGAAUACGUGAGAGAUGUUACAUCAAAUGGAGGAGCUAGAGAUUGGUGAUACAUCUGCAAGUGCAUCAGAUAGCUAUAGUAUGCAGUAGAUCUCAUCUUAUGCUGGAGGUGAAUCUUCUGCUGCAUCAAAUAGAGUAGGUAGCAUCCUUUAUCCAUAUACGAUCUUUAUGCAUUCUUCUACUUAUUUUAUUUGGAGGAUCUGACUCUGUAUAUUGCUGCUUCUAUGGAUAUGGGUAUAGCUAGAGGUUAGAACAUGAUGCUACCUCCUCCUACCCUGAGCAGGGAUGGUCGGUCUUUUAUGACUACCACAAGCAACCAUAGUAUCCGGAGUCAUAGCAGGGGACUAUCGGAUAUCAUAUGACCAGCAGAGAUGGGGACAAUAUCCAAACUGGUAUGAUAUCCAAGGUCCAGAAUACAAACAAUAUCUGGAUAUCUACGAGAGCCAUGGAUAUUUUACUUAGGAUUAGAUUUAUAAAGUGAGUUAUUACACAUUUUCCUUUUUACAAUAUCAUAGACUAUUUGUCAUUUUUUAAUUAUUAAUAUUGCUAGUUUAUCGAUCCAUGUUGACCUAAUAAGUGUUGAUACUAAUAUCAACACUCUAGUAUCACAUAUCCAUCGAAAAUUGAACUAAAACAUUAAAAAUUCACCAAAAAUAGUAUAACAAGCCUUCGAAACAAAAAAGAGAAAAAAUAGGACUUUUGGCAUCAAGAAACCGGCGAUAGUGGGGGAGAGGUUGAAGGAAAGAGCAGAGAGAGGGAGAGGGAGCAGGAGAGAGGGAGAGGGAGGAUGGGAGCGAGAGGUUGCAUUGUCGGAAAAAGCCCUCUCUUCCCUGCAUUGUCGGAACAGGGCAACAGGGGCUUCAUUCCUUUUUAUAAUUUUUAUGAUUUUUUUUAGUGAAGUCAACGGUCUCUCUCUCUCUCACUUUUCCACUCUUUCCUUCUCUCUGUCCCCCUUCCUCCGCCUCUCUCUUCAUUGUCCUCUCCCGCUCUCUCCUUCCCUUCCGCCCUCUCCCUCUCCCUCUCUCCUCCUCCUUGCCCCCUCCCUUGCUAGUUUCUCUAUCGAGUUCAGGUUGGAACGAUGUGAUAUGGUACCGUACCUUACAAUUAGCGUACUGGCAUAGGUGUUGGUUCCGAUACUACGGACCUUAUAAAAAAAUAUGGUCUUAUAAGACUAGUAAAAAAUUGAACAUACUGCAUGUAAGAUGUGUAAUAAUUAAGACAUAUGAAGCCUAAGAUACAUAAGCAAGUAGCACCAUAAUUAGACUAGUAGGAUGAAAUGAACAAGUUUUGUCAUGUCAAGUUUUCACUGUCAUCCAUAAAUCAUUUUGAAACUGAUUAAAUAAGACUUUAUGUAAUAAAAUUCUUUCCAAACAAAUAGACCACACGUACUAACUUUGUCUUUGGCAUUCAUAUACAUUUGUUGAAGUACUGUUUCCAUUUUGGAUCCUUCUUUUUAUUUUGCAAUCACUUCACAACAUGCAUCAAAAGUAUAUUUUAUGCUAGAACGAAAUGCUAUAUAAAUGUUCUAAUAAGGUGAUAAUUCAAGAUAUACAUAAUAACACAAAUAAAGCUCGUAUAAACAAAUAAACAUGAACUAAUGAGGUGUAUGAAAUAAUGAUAGUUGGAUUUCUCCUCAUUAAGGAUAGAAAGAUGGGCUUCAAACUUAAUUUGACGAGAACAUUGACUUUGAGUCAGGAAUGCAUAUGGUCCUAGGAUUGAAUAUUCAGAACUAGGUUUUACACUUUGGCUAAAAUAAGCUCAAAUGAUUAAGGAACUCCAAUUAUGUUGUGUUGGUUAGCGACACAGCCAUACAACCAUUGUAUUGUACCCAAGUAUAGCUAGUGCGGCACAUUCUGGCACUUAACCAUUUCUUGGAUUAGGUUGGCAACUUGGCAUAGUGUAUAUAGAAAUGUCGAGUAUUUACGAAAGGCACAAGGAUUUAACUUGGUCUAACUCCGCUAAUUAACACGAUGCUCAUAUUUUUUAUACUCAUUAUAGAUAAAUUUAUGCUAAAUUAUUUAGAAAGAUGUGCCAUAAGCUAUAGAUAAUUUGAUUAAUGGGGGGAAAGAUUAAAAUAUAAAUUGGAUAUUUUGAAAACACUUUAUUGGGUAAGAGGCUUAAAAAUCAGCAAAAUAUGAAUAUGUUAUAGGAAAUGUAGUUUUUGAAAAGUAAAGAUGAAAAUAAGGACCAAGCCAAGAUUGUUAGACGAGAGAUACAAUAAAUGCAAAUUAGAGAAUGCUAACAUGCAUGGUCGGCGGAACCGUCCCGAACUGCUCGGUUUGGGGCGUCCUGAGCUGUACCGGUGGUGGACUGGGACGGUUCUAACGACGAAACCGAGAUGCAAUCGUCGGAGGGGGAGAGGAAGAAUGAGAGAGAGAAAAAGCGAGACCUGUCUCUCUUCCUUCCUCUCCCUCUCCCUCUCGCUCCCUCCCCUGCUUUAUCUCUCUUUUUCUCUUUUUUCUUCUCCUUCUCCCCCUCCCCUGCCUCUAUUGUGUCGGUACUGGGUCGGCAUGGCAUGGCGCUGGGCUGUACCGACACGUACUGUCGGGCCCGAUAUCGGCACAACAGAUAAUGCUAACAAGGCUUGCAUAUUUGUAUGAUUUCAAGUGUUGGGCAAUAAGGAGGGUCCAGGAAAAAAUGUUAAGGGUUUGUUUAGAUAUUCCUAUAGGACCAGGCUGAAAAUCUUGGAGGAAUUGGGUCUGUUGGCUUAUCCAGCUUGCAUUUUCUAAGAGCCUGUCCAAACCCAACCCAUAUCCUAGCCUUUGGGCUGCCAGAAAAAAAACCUAUGGAGUUCUUUUUUUUCUUCCUAUAUGAUUUGGGCUAGCUGGGUGGUAUUUGGUUGAUACAGAAUCAUGCUUAAAUGGAUGGCCUACUUCACGAAUUUCUAUAGGAUUUUCAGCUCAAUCUCGUAAAAUUAUCCAAAGAUGCCCUAAAUGUAGUAGAAAUAGGAUAGAAGUUGUGAUAAAGGAUAUGGUAAACAUUGAAAUAAAAUUAGAUGCAGCUCUAAAUAGGAGUGCUUGGUACAUAAGGAGUCACAAUGCUUUCAUUCUGAAUAGUUGGGACAAGGCUUGAUAGUUAUGGUAUCUCAAUUAUUUUGAUGCCAGAUAAUAUUAAGUUAUCAACUAAAAUCAUACAUUAUACAUCAUAUAUUUGUGUGUGUACAAAUCUUCAAUUGAAAAUCUACUAUCAUUGUAAUUUGAUUUCUAGUCUAAAUAGUUUAUAAUUUAUAUGUUUUCUUAUGACUUUGAGAAUCUAGGGAGUAUUUUAAGGAUAUGACAAAAUGCAGAUUCUUGUAUCUUUUUAUAAAUUUGAUGCCCAGCUGUAGAAGGUUCAAGAUGAUACAUCAAUUAGAAAAAGAGGAUAAAGAAGCGACAUAAGUUUGAAUGUAGCAAAAUCAAUCAUUUACCUAAGUUUAGGUAUUUUUCCUUCAUGCACAAUUCUUUCAUUUAAAUAAAACAACUAUAAUAGAUAAAGUACUUUUCUGAAUCGAUAACUACUCAAACUAUCUUUUAUUAUGAGAUAGGGGAUGAUACUGUUUCACAUUGUAUUGCUUGUGAACUUGAUGUCAAGCUGUCCAACCUAUGAUAGUGUGUUCCAGCAUGUGCAGGCACAACCUACAAGUGUCAAUGAUGUAUCAUAGGAAUAGUGAUGCUGCAUCUUUUGAUCUAAAGGGCUAUAUCUCACUUGAUAUAACUCUACUGAUGUCUGUAACAAUAGAUUUAACUAUAAUGCAAUGUAUGAUUGGACUCUGCUUGACUUAAUAAGUUUGCUUUUUUUUACAAAUAUGAUCUUUGUUCCUCCUAUGUAUAUUCUAUGAAAGCUUCUUGGACAUUCUUUCUUUUAAGAAUUUAGAAAUUAGUAGUUAUUAAAAAUGAUGUACUUUAUGUCAAAAAAAAGAAAAAAAGGUGCUGUGCUUAUGGAUUUAGCUUGCAUCACUACUUUGUUGUGUGAAAAGCCCAUGGUUUGUGUCCUUUCCUUGAUGGACUGGGCCUAGGUUUGAUUCAUAGGAGGGGUUGAUUAAGAUCCUAAAGCUUAAUUUGGGCCAACCACCCUUGGCUAACCAAAAUCAAUUGACUAGGUUGCCUGAAUUGGAAUUCUCAAGCUAGGCUUGGGUCCAAUUUUAGCUUAACUCCAUACCUUCUUCUUAAAGGAGGGCAUGGGUUUGGCGGUUUGGUCAAGAGCUUGAGUGGCAUGGAAUAUAGGGGGCCAAAUGAGCAAUAUGAUAGGGAUGUGCAUGGGCCAUGUGGGUUUUCAUAGCUAGAUAUUAGAGUCUCUCCUACAAGAAAUGAGUUGGAAGUAGGUUCAGUUGUAGGAGAUUGUUGCAAGCGAUAAGCGGGGAGCUGACCGGCCAAGGCGGUGGAUGGGAAAGCCAACCUAGGGCCCUAGUGAGAGAAGAAAAUUUUCAGUAACAAAUCAGAAAAGCAUUUAUCUUCAAAGUACUUUGUCACAGAGGGAGGAUGAAAACCAUUUGUAUAGUUGAAGAUAAUAAGCCAGUCUUUUGAAACUUUUGCAUGCGUUUCUUGCAUAGAAUGCCAAGAGUUCCUCUGCUGUAUUCUUGGAACUGCCUUGCAUUUUUCCCAUGAUGACAUAAAAAGGCCUCAUGGCAACAAAGUAACAUUCUAAACAAUGUUGAAUUUGAUAGAUCAUUCCAAAAAGGAGGAAGGAACAUUUUGGUAAUUUGAAGCCCAUGGCCACUCAUCUCUUUGCUCACAGCUUGUUGCAUGCCCAAGGCAUUGGUGGCAUGAUUAAACAAGAGGGUGAGAAGAAAUGCCAUAACAAAUUACGAGACAAGAUGGGUAGGUCGCCAUGGGGUUCAUUCAGCAUUGAUCUUUGACAUGAUGAUACGUUAAGCGCGUAACUCAAGCCAAGCCUACCUAACCCUAUGUAUAAGGAUGCAUUUUGGGCUCUGCUAACCCAUGACCUUUUUAAGCCUGUACUAUUUAUGGGCUGGGAUAAAUUAUCAUUCAGUUGGACUAUUUUGGGCUUGAAAAUUCUGGUUUGACUUGAACAGCUACGCUUGAGCUAGGAGUUUAGCCUAGCCCAAGCUGGCCUGAGGGUAAAAUAUGAUACAUGCUUAUGUGCAAGAAUCAAUGUGUCUGAUAGACAGAUGAUAGCACAAGAAGAGAAAUACUGGUUGCACUUUAAUUCCCCAUAUGUAUGCAUUGGGUUUAUCUAUGCAAUAUCUUAGUUUUGUUAAAUACAAUUGAGAAAAAAAGGAAACUUAGUUCUAAUUGGUCAUGCUAUGUUUGAAUUCUUUCUUGGUUAAGUUUGGGCCAGACCAAGCCAGUAUAUCAAUCGAGCUAGCUCAAUCUCAACUCAGAGUUGUCCACAGGGCUUGAGCUGAGAUUUGUUGGAUCAGUUGUGGGUUGAACAGAGUUUGGGCUAAGCCUUCAAUGUUGGCUGAGUCCCAGCAGAUAUUUGGCGCAGUCCAACCCACUCAAUGUGUAGUCCUACCAGUGUGCCAUGGACCUUGCUUAUGCUCAAUAAUCCUUCCAAGUUAGCCAGCAACUUGAUUAGCCAACCAAUUCUUUUACAUCCAUAGUUCUGGAUUGCACUUAUUUGGCCCAAGAUUAAAUCCUAGAAGCCUGGACAUAAAAUACCUGAAUUUUCUUUUUUAAACCAUAUACAAACGAGAUAUGACAAAUGGUAUCUUAACACUUCAGUUUUUUGGAAAUCUGGAGUGGGCACCUUUGGACACUAGUCACUAGGUCACAUUGUUUUUGAAUGACAUGCCAUGACAUUCCAUGGUGCUCUGAAAAUUGUCCUCGUGUCAGCUAUAAGUUGUGGCACUUGGAACAAUUGUUCUUGCAGUGUCCCCUAUCAAAAAGCACCUUAUUACAAUUGAUGUCACUUAACUUCUGAACUGUUUUGCUGCCAAAUAAUGAUUAUUAAGUGCCCAGACUCUUUUACUGAAGUGCUGCACAUUUUUUCCCAUUGAUGUUAUUAUCACAUGCAUGUUAAAAUAAAAGGUUUAUUGACUACUCAAUUAACUCCAGUUGUCAUUAUAUGUUGACUCGUAUAUUGGUUCUUUAUAUUUUAUAUUACUACAUUUUGGAAUUUAUGGAGUAGAAGUUGCCCUACCAACUGGACCCCUUACUCAGCCUAACAUGGGCCCAUUAGUAGCAAUAUGGCUCGGAGAAAAUCUUGUUUUUUUUUCCAUGCAUUUCUCCAACCGGUGCAAAUCUCUAUUGAUAAAUAAAUAAAUAUGGUUAAUUGUGAACUUAUAAUGCUAUCCUGAAAAGAUCUUAUUACAGUUUUCAAUUUUGGUUGUCAAGUGUGCUGAUGGCAAAAACGAGAUGAAAUGUUAGUUUUUACUUGUUUCAUAUUUUGCUGAUAAUAACUAAUCAUGUACAGUCAUUAAUUUUCAUCCCAACGUUUUCACAGGCUGAAGUUGAAACUCUGUAUACGGAAGAUUGCAGCCUGGAUGGAAUGAUCAGGUGGGUUCUCAGGAAAACACAUUGAAUGAAACUGUUUUCUUUCUAUGUAUUAAUGAAAGUCUGUUGCUUUGCAGAGAGAUGCAAGAUAAUCUCAGAAUUCUGACUGAAGAGGAGAACAGCCAAAAGUAAACUGAAAUUGUUAACGUUUCUUGGCUUUACAAUUUAUUUGGUGGUUUGUUAUUCAUUAACUGAAGUCUAAUGGUCAUUAAUCUGUUUAGAUGGCUCUAUCUCACCAAUGAUGAUAUUAAUAACCUUCCUUGCUUUGAGGUUUGGCUUUCUGGGCCCUUGAGUUUCUUGCCAUUUGAUCUUAUCUUGUAGCUGGAUGUUCUAACUUUUGUCUGUCAUGACAGGAUUCUACUCUAAUUGCAAUAAAAGCACCUCGAGGAACUAGUAUUGAAGUUCCAGAUCCUGAUGAGGUGGGCAAGACAUGGUCGAUAAGAUGAUACUUCAUGGGUUAGGUAGGUUUUGAUGACAUUAUUUUUUGAACAGGGUCUUGAUUUUCCACAAAGACGAUACCAAUUACUUUUCAGAAGCUCAAUGGGUCCUGUUGAUAUGUACUUGAUCAGGUACUUUCCGGGGGCAGUACCAAAAUUGCUGUCCGUUGGACUUUCUUUUUAGAAAAUUUUGAAUUAUAAUAUAGGCUCUCAUCUUGUUAACAGCAAUCAUGGAGAGAUAUACGAGGCUUCAAAUCAAAACCAACAGCCAGCUGCAAUGGAUUUGUAUGUCGAGAGUAGCUGCAAGAAUGAUACGUCUUUUCAGCCGGCAGACAAGCAUACAGGUGGAACAUCUGAGCGAGGACACGACCAAGCUACUCUUUCUAACAAUUUGGGUUCAACCGCUGCACAAGAAUGCAUGGGUGGCAUUGUGAAGAUUGUCCCAUCAGAUGAUGUAAGCAUAUAUACAUAGACCACAAACUAGGAUCAGAUAUGCUAAUAGAUUGCUGAUUAUGAUAUGCUUGUCAUUGCAGAUGGACACUGAUUACUGGUUUGUAUCAGAUCCUGGAGUCACUGUUUCAGACACAUGAACUGAAUAUAUCCUUGAACUAGAGCCCGAUUACCCUUCUUGAUGUUCUUUCCUAUGGAUGCACAGAGGGCAUUUGAUAUGAAUUACCACUUUAGCUUGACCGCUUUGGAGAAUGACCACAAACCAUUUCACUUUACUGUCACUAAAUGCAGAAUAACAUCAAAGAAAGGAAGACCUCUGGAUCACCAUUUCAUUGUAAAUGAGGCUAUACUACAGCCUUGGAGGCUUGGAGCUCCAAGAUCAGUGACUGUAGGCUUGACUGAUUUCCUGUGCAUGCCUGCCAGGGGAUAUUCCUGGGAUGUACAGAUCAUAAUAGGCUGCACAAUCAAGGGCACAGAGCUCAGAGGGGGUGGGGGGGCAAAAAAAGAUUUGUGAAAUUGUAAAUGCUAAUGAUGGUCCUUCCUAUUAAUUCUACAAUGAUCAAAUAAAAGGCUUAUAAAUAUUCAGUUGUCACUGUGGCGGUGAUUUUCAAUUUAGAUACACACUCAGAUUUUUCCAUUAAUUGCAGCUCAGAGAUCAAAUGAGCAACAGAAAUGGAUUGACUUUCUGAACUCUAAGUAAUGGGGUGCUGAACUGCUGAUGAUGGCUUGCGAGCAAGGUAGGCUACUCGUGCUAUCCUGAUGUUCUUUUUUUUUUUUUCGAUUGGCUCGAAUCAGGGAUCCUCCCCAGUUUGGGGUUGAACUGGAGUGGUCCAGUCCUCCAACCACAGCUUUCGUGAUUUCAUGGCCCUCAUAGGACCAUGCAAUAUGUAUGCUGCCCUUGUACCACGUUAGGCCUAUGCAAUCACUGCUGUCACUUGAUCUGCGGAUGGCAGUAAUUGUAAACUUGGGGUCCAGUUCAAACCUGAACUAGAGAGGAUCAAUGUUGAGACCUCUUUGCAAUGGGGCACUUCCUAAACAUGCAGAUGUUCUUUUUUCAAGUGUUUUGGGGCCUUUUUUGCAAUGCAAUUUAUUUAUAAAUGAAAAUGUCGGUUUGGAAUGAAUGGUACCAAGUGUUUGUCAUUUACAUUCCUACUAAAAGGGAAAAAAUUGUCAAUACGUCGUACACAAUCACCGACGGAAUGUCCAAUACAAAUCUUGUGUGGGUGGUUAUCACGCCCCCACAUUUGAUCAGUGUAUAUUUUCCCAGUUAGGCAUUGCGAAGUCCUAAAAUUCAAUUGUGGUUCUUCGACUUUAAAUGUUGUUACGGUGUUGAUUUACCAGCAAAACUGGGAAAAAACAAGAUCUAUAUUCUCCUAGGCCACAACAUUCUGCAUACGGGAGUCGAAUUUAUUAUACCUCACCAUCAAUCGGAACCAGAAGAACUGGUAACAUGAGCUCUUGGGAAGAAACAAGCUGAAAAUGAAGCAUCAGCUACCUACAUGGGGGACGGAGGGAAGACAAUGGAUCUGGGCAGAAGAUCAGUAAUUAUGAUAAGACGGUCGUAUAUUUUCCUAGCUUGCUUCAGAGGUUCCACAGGACCAUCAAGUAAAACUAAAGAAUCAGGUAUUUUGAUAUUUACAAUGAAUGACACAGUAUAAUAAUGAACCAAAGCUGAAGCCAUGAAAAAGAUGCCAAGCCAGUAGAAAAUUAGAAAUGAAUGCCAACUGCUGUAAAACAUAAUCAAGAUAUUGCAUCCUCCAGCCAUUACAUUCCAACGGGUCCAACUGCUUAACUAAAAAGGCAAUGGUAGCCUAGCCUAGCCGUCCAGCGGGAAUAAUGGCAAUGGUAGUAAUACCAAAGGAAAUGAUAGAUGCCACCCCUGAUUGUCAUUACUAAACUUCUAAGCAUCCGAUACCAAAUACAAUUAAAAAGGCCGGCAAAAUGACUCUGCAACAGUGCAUGGAAUCAUGAUUAUGCCCCAGCCCCGAAAGGAUUGGGAAUUCAAUCAUGUGCAUGCAGUGAUCUUGUUUCAUUUUUGUAUCCAUUCAUCACAAACGGAGUGAAUUCUCUUCCAUGAACUAAGCUUCGCCUCCAUCUCUGGUCCCCUGCUGCCAUAUCCAGAUGCAGUUCAUUAAGAACUAAACAGCCACUUGCAUAGAUAUCAUCAAGGUCCCCUAAACUCGUCAACUAGAUGCUUGUCUACACAUGCAUCUCCACCUUGUUCUAGGUUAUUUACACAAGUGUUGAUGGAUGGAUUCAAAAGAAUGCACUCAAAUCAAUCACCCCACAUUUCCACUCUACCAACGAACAAGCAAUGCUCGAGGAAAUAUUGAGAGAGCAGGCAAGAGAUGCUACUAACGAAUUGAGGGACCAGCAGCUGCAGCUCUUUUUCUCAACCUGCCACGGGUCAUGCGGAUUGCCUCUUCCAUGGGAGUCUCUUGUGAGGGAGGAUUUGUGUCUUCUUUGGAUGCAGCAUUGGCCACUUCUACCUGCAUUGCUUCUCCAUCACCUGCUGGUGAGGCUGGCGGCUGGGCAACCAGAGGGGCUGGUUCUUGCAACUGCCUCUUAGUGGGGUUGGAUGGUGCACAUGUUUGCUGUUGAUGCUCUUGUGAGACUGUUUGUUGGCGAGCAGCCGUCGUAGAUGCCAUUCGGCGGAUCUGCCGAGGCUGCUGGCAUUGCUUAGUGCCAAUAUAACAACUCAUCAAUAAAAUUGAGUGUGGUCAAAAAGCUGGUGCUAUAUUUGAAACAAGUAUGAAACUCGAAAACAAAUGUUAUCAAGAGUCUAGAAUCUAACAUUUGGAACUUCAAUAAUUCAAGAUCCUGCCACGACAUAAACCUCAAUAUAUGCUAGCAAUUUAUUUAGUUUAUAUAGAUAGAAACAAUGAUGACAUUUAAUCCUUUACAGCUUUUAUAGAUUUUCCUACCUCAAAAACUGCCCUUCUGAUACCAUCUGAAACUUGAAAAUGAAACAGAGCAUUACAUACAAAUUCCCAGGAGAGAUAACUUUGUCACGUUUAAGAAAUCCAUCGGCAAAACCAACAACUAUCUCAAAGUCAAAACCAACAGCUAUCUUCCUUUUACAAGCAGACGCCCUAGUCUUAGGAAUCAUGCAAGUAUCUCCUCUUACAAACAAUGCACGCAGAAUAAACAGUUACCCAAAGAAGUAGAGCUUCUUCACACUCAAUGAAUAAGCAUUCAGGGUAGGAUUAAAUAUAACAAUGCAUCAGAACAGUUAACUAUAGAUGAUGCACAGUUAUACUCAACAUUUAUGUAGAAAGCAUCAAAGAUUGGGCAUUUUAUCCUCAAAUGAGUACAUAUUUUUUGUAGAUCUUUAUGUUCAAGUCGUAUUUUAUGGUACAAGAAGUUCUAAUCUCUAAGAUCAUUUGAAAGUUCUAGAGUUUUUUGAUAUGUAUAAAUUUAAACCUAGGUUUUAUUUUGUGUAAUUCCGUUCACAUAAUAAAAUUUGCAGUCAUUGAAGUGGUUAUUUUGCAUCUGUACAAAUGCGAAAUACCAAAGAACUGUAGGAGGUUUUAGAAUACUUCAUUUAAAACAACAAAGUAGCUGAGGCAGACAGGCUGUCCACAUUGGUCCCUGAGUUCCCAAGCACCAAGAUAUACUGCCUAGAUAUAAUAUAUGUUUAUUCUUUAGUUUAGGCCAAAGUAAUAGAUGUAAUAUAUAGCAUGUAGGUUGGCUCCUGUGUUAACUAAAUCAAAUCAAAAAGAGUUUAACUUUCACAGGUUGAUUGCGUCACUGGGAAGACGCACAAGUUCCAGAGCUAUUUUCCUUAACAGCUUUGCAAGCUAGAGAAUAUGCAGCUGGCAGAAAUUGUACCUCUAAUAUAGAUAUCCUAAAAAAAUAAACAAGAAAAUAAUGAUUUCAGUUUUCUCAAAUUUCCAAUUACUAAAAGAGAUCACAUAAAAAAAGUUGAACCAUUAAAUGGCAAAAGAUCAUAGACAUCCGUCAGGGCAAAAGGGAACACAAAAUGUGACAGUAAAACCUGAAUAAGUAACGUGCAUGAUUACAUUUUUUCCAAGAUCAGAUCUUUAUCAAAAACUCAACCCAUCUUUCUUGAUAAAGAAACCCUAGGUUUCUUUUGAACUUGCAAUAUCAUUUUCCCCUGGGAAGAGCUCAACUUUCUUUCCAUAUUUAUGCCAAUCUCCCUUCCCAUGAACAACUAAGAUUCUUCCGAACCACCAAAGCAAAUCUCUAACAUGAAAUAUGGAUCCUACGCAAACCUUUUGAACUGAUUAAACAAGAAACAGAACAAGGUAAGGAUCUCCCUACAGUUCACACACACACACAGAGAGAGAGAGAGAGAGAGAGAGAGAGAGAGAGAGAGAGAGAGAGAGAGAGAGAGAGAGAGAGANNNNNNNNNNNNNNNNNNNNNNNNNNNNNNNNNNNNNNNNNNNNNNNNNNNNNNNNNNNNNNNNNNNNNNNNNNNNNNNNNNNNNNNNNNNNNNNNNNNNNNNNNNNNNNNNNNNNNNNNNNNNNNNNNNNNNNNNNNNNNNNNNNNNNNNNNNNNNNNNNNNNNNNNNNNNNNNNNNNNNNNNNNNNNNNNNNNNNNNNNNNNNNNNNNNNNNNNNNNNNNNNNNNNNNNNNNNNNNNNNNNNNNNNNNNNNNNNNNNNNNNNNNNNGAGAGAGAGAGAGAGGAGGAGGAGGAGAAGGUAUGCGUAAUGUAUGACAGUGGGUCAACAUCUCCAAUGCUGCAGUGUCACUGAUAUACAUUGUGUUUUUUCACGACAUGGAAGUUGGCUCAAUGCCUUUCCCGUGGCAAGAUCUUUGCUUUGGAAAUGUUGUGUUGUGAUAGAUAUAAUAUAACAAAUAUUACAUCUAGUAACCCCAAGUUUCAAACUAAAACCACCACCAUUAAAUUUGCAAGCUGGAUUUUAAAUUUAUAGUUUCCGUCAAGGUGUAAACAGAGUCAAAAGGACAAAUAGUAAAAUAAGUCUAAAUGCAAGCGCAUGCAUCCCUCUAAUGGUCCUGCUAUUUCUGUUCCAAUCAUUUCAUUUUUUAACAAGGGUAACAUGAUUAUCACAAUUUAUGUCCUAUUAUAAUGAUAAGGUGCCAAGUAUCUUCAAAGGUAGUUUGAAAUAAAGAAUCUUCAUUAUCUUUGGUAUUUCCUGAAGCUUGAUGCGUAGUAUAUAUACAGACACAUAAAUGUCUGUUUAUUACUAAUAUCAUCUCUUAUGCUCAAUUUAUAGGCACUAAAAUCGCUUCAACACCCGUUAAGAUUCGUUUGAAGAAUGGAUGAUGGUGACCCUUUUCUUGAUCCUUCUUGAUAAUGUCAUCUCAUUGGAAGACCACUUGAUGACAUUGUCUAUGCAUUCCUAUGGCCGACAAGUUCAUUACAACGCCAUCUCAUGUAGCCUAAAUAGCAUUCUUAGCUAUCUUUAUUCAUGCCAUCACCACCUUGGCCCUCAAUUUCUCAUCCUUUUCUCUGCUCCAACUUUGCACUUAGAUGUUGAUUGCGCUAGUGAAGCCAUGUGUCCUGGAUCUAUCACUAACUAUGUUAUUUAUUUUAAAGACAGAGAAAGAAGCAAGUCAUCAUUUCUCAUUUGUUUGUUAAAGCUGAGUAUGGCACCAUUGUUCGUAUCUCUGUUGAGGAGGCCUAGCUUCAAUGCCUAAUUUACUAAAACAAGGGGCAUCUUCAAACACGACUAGCAGCCUUAGUUGUGAUAAUUAAAAUAUUGCUCAAUUUUCAAUGAUUUGAUACUCCAUAUUGUACCAAGCAUAUUAGAUUAAUUAUCAUUUCAUACCAUGUCGCUGAGACGACACCCCUUACUACAUAGUUUCUUUACAAAUCAGCUUUCUAACUUCAUGAAGUCACACACUAGUCCACAUUUUUUCCACGAUAAACUGCAUACGAUCCACAAUGAGUUUCAAAUACAAACUAAUCUUUGUAUAUUGCCAGCAUGCUGAACACUUUGGAUUUAAGACAUGUUUAUAUAUUUUUGGAUCAUUGUCACUAGAGCAAGGAUCGGGUCAUUGCCAUUGGAGCAAGGAAUUGAGAGAGAAAGAGAGAGAGAGAGGAGGAGGAGGAAUAAAGGAGGUGCUUACUAUAAUAGAAUAACAUGCAUGGCUUUUGUUACAACUAUACUAAAAAAAACUCUAAUUAUUGUGUAAUGCAUAUGCAUCACCACAAUGGACAAUCAUAGAAAUUUUCAAAUCAAAGACAUCAGACUUGCUAAUCGUUAGAUAUUUAAUUUAAAAAACAAAUAUGUACUUUUACUUUCCUAUAAAGUUUAAUCUUUCUGGUUCUUAACUAAUUCAUAUUUUUAUUACUUUAACAUUAUCUGUUUAAUUUUUGGGAUGACUAGAAUGAGUUCAUCAUAUACCAGUUGCUAUGCUGAUCAGCAUAUACGGUAGCAUAUGGCAGUAAUAUAAACCAUUGGUUCCAUCAAAAAACCAUUCAACCCCACAAAUAAACAUAUAGAUGGGUUCCUCCACAUAGGUGAUGAUAUGCGACACAAUGCUUGUAGAAACACAGUAGAGCAUGCUCCUAAGACUGGUGAGACCACCUAGGCCCCAACAACAUGCAUGGCAAUAUUCCACAAGAAGGAUUGUACAUGGCCAAUCAAAGCAUCAAUGUGGGGCUAUUGUUAAGGGGUGACUUGCCCAAUCAUUUCACUUAAUAAGGUAGUCCACUGGGAAACAUUAUUAAUCCUUCCAAUGUAUCCACAAAUUUAAACAUCUGGUUCCUAACACCAGAUCAGGAUAAUGCUUCUUGUUUUGCUUAAUUUUUAAAUGGAGGAAAGUUUCUCCUAGGUUAUGUUGCAUAUCAUGACAAUCCUUAGUACUUCAAUAAGCUUGAUCACAGCAAAUUCUAAAUUGAUAUAAAAACAAGGGCAUUGAUAUGGCAUGCCAAAUACUACAUUGCUAGGAGAAUAGGAUACAGGUUUCCUUGCAAUCUCUACUUGCAAUAGGUGGAAAAAAAAGAAAAUUAUUUUAGUAACCUUACAAUCUCUACUUGACAAAGGAAAAAGCUUUAGUACACUGGGAGAACAUUUUUCAUGAUUGGUGUUAUUAGCUUAUAGUGGUCUGCUGGAGAUAAACACACAAUCAAUAUAUUGCAAAUUAAAAGAAGGUUCUACUACUGGACCCAUCGAUUCUUUUCACUUUAACCCAGAAUGUAUAAAAGAAUCAUAGUGAAUGACCACAAUUUUGUCAUAUCAGAUAAAUGUGCCUUCUUAAGCAAAUGAAAAGCAAGCAAAUGCUAGAGGCAGUGCAAAAAGCUAUAUUUCUAGAUUGUCAAGUAUAUUGAGUGGUCUGGUAAAAUUUCAUUAUAAUUAGAAGAAAAGAAAAACAAAGAGAACACAGUAAGACCUAUUUACUCUUCUCAAUAAGCACCUGGACAGGGUGUGAUCUCGAUGACUGCGAGGGUGACUGCGAAGCAAUGUAUUGUAAGACUUCAAAAAGCCUUGUCUGGCCAUAGCUUGCAGUCUUUUGCCAAUAAAGGGCAACAAUAUCCCCAGCUCUCGUUCUCAGCUCAAGUAAGUUACGAUCUAUUUCAUUCUCAUGCUUUGCAACAUAUGGCCGAAAGAAAGUUUCAUAGACAUAUGUGGUUCCCUGCCAUAAAUUCACUAAUUAAAAAAAUUAUAACUAUAGAUGAGAUAACAUGCCAUAGCCCGAGAGGGCAUAGAUUUCACCUUUGUUUUUGGGUACCAAAGAUAUACAAAGGAUGCCAGCUUUGCCUCGUUGUACAUUGGUACCCUUCAAGAAAGUAGAUAAGAUCCCAAGUUGUAACAAGAAAAGCUGAAUAAAAGUAAAGAAAGCAAGGCUGUGGAGCCCAAAUUUCCAAACCACUGAGCUACCUUACCAUGAAAUAAAAGAUUCUCCAACCCUCUCAAAGACGGUCAGUGCAGCAACUAAAAUCCUAGAAAAAUGAAUUAAAAUCGAAAGGUCUCCUUUUAGUCCCACAAGUGACCAGAAGAUAGGAUUGAAAAUAAAAUCUUUCCACCGACAAGCAACAAGAACGUACCAAUACUGACACCAGAAUAUCAGCUGUUCAACCUCUGGCUUGUUCAACUCCACAGCUUUGAAGCAUUCAUAGGCCGGAUAAGCAUAGCCAAGGACCAAUCUGCAGACAGAAACGCUCGAGUUCUCAUCUAAAUUCACUUUCUUGAAAAAAGAUUUCUAAAGACAAGAAACAUGAAACGAAGAUCUACUCGAAUGUAAUGAAGCAGCUAAAAAACCAAAAAAACUAAUCCAUGUCAGAAUUACUAACACCAAGGCUCUUGUAACAAAACUUCCCAUCAUCUUGAUCCACCAAACAUGUAGAAAGUUACGGCCGCUCCCUGAGCCCCCUUCAGCAACACCAAGCACUAGAAGUCAAGGAAAAUGAAAACAGACGGCAUUAUUAUAUAAACAAGAAAAGAUUACUGUACCGUGAUUCCCAGAUCAUUGGAAGUGCGCGCGCGCGUCUGCAGCAGAAAAUUAACUAAAAAGCUUAUUGGAGAGCGGAGUGUAACAAAACUAGGGGCAAGGAAAACACAGAAAAAGAAGAACGCCGUGCAGGAAAACCCUGGAUUUAAAGAUCUGACUGAAAUCAACUCCGCAUAUCUCCGCAUUGCAGAAUAUGAGCCAAAAUCCCACCGAUUUCCAUCGCAAGAAACAAAAGAGAAAACCCUUAAAACUGAUCAAGAAAACAAAUCAAGUAUCAGUACAGAAGCCGCAAAAGAACCCUUAUUCGGUGCAAAAAUCCGAGAAGAAGCGCAAGACAUGCUGAUUUAAGGCGACGAAGCCGACAUCGGAAGAGAAGAGGAAAGAGGGUAAAGAGUAAAGACCGAUACCUUUCCGAGAUUGGCCGCAAGAGGGAAAGAGGGAGACAAAAUCCUUCCACCGAGACGAUAACGAUAAAAGAAGCGACAGAGAGAGAAAGGAAAAGGGAGUAGAUCUCGCCAAGUCUUCAAGGGUACGAAAUACGGCGAGCGAGAGCUCUUUUUACCGUGUAGCUGCUCUUCUUUUAAAGCCAGAGAACGGCGAGGGAGAGAGACCGUCGCCUCGCCCCCACCCGGCCGUCUCGAUUUGAACUGGUUCUUGGUUCUCCCUCACCGGGGCGUAUCGUAUCUCUAUCCUACGUGGAUGGCUACGUCGGUGCUUACUGGUGAGCGAGUGGAUAGACAACGGACGGCCGGAGGUACGGAAUCUGUUUUGGGCAUUGGAUACUGGCCGUUUGAUUGAUGGAUCACGGAUCGGAGGUCCCGAGGGCUUUUUCCCGUGCAGGUGGACCCAAAGUGACGUUCGCGAUAACGUUGCUGUCGCUGCGCAAAGGACGCUCCCCGAACUGUUGUGGUAUGAGUUUACCGUUGCAUUCCGUUUGACGACCGCCAGCCGUUGUCACGAAAAAAAUUAUAAACACUCACAAAACUAUUUCACUUAUCACCUAACCAAAUAAAUUAUUUUGCAUGUAAGAUGCUAGUGCGGAUACCAGUGCCAGAUCAUCCGUCACUCAAAUCUACAUUCGCCGCAGAAGGAUGUUCCAGCCAGUUUGAUUUUAUUCAGUAAGUGAUUUUAUGUUAUUUGGACUUAUUAGAGUAUUUUGUUAUUUGCCAGUCGUUAGGGCUUAUUUUGAUAUUUCGUUAUUUUGAGAGUCUUCUGUGAGACUAUUUUUUUUUUUCAGAAGCUUAUUUGCAUAUUGCCAUUUUGAGGUCUUUAUAAAAUUGUUUGCACCUAAAUACUUAAUAGCAAGAUGCACAUAAGCAAUAUCAUCGAUUUAUACGUGUAACUGUCAUUAUUGUAUUCAUGGCAAUUAUGCAUCUAUUAAUUUAUUGCAUAGCAAAGAUAUCUUUAAAAUGCUGCAUGUAGUAUUAUUUUUAGAGUUAACAUCCUAAUUUCAGAUUUUAAUAUUAAAAUAAUUAGACAUGCAUUUUUUUGGAAGAUUUUUGAGAGAAAAAUGAAUGUUAAAGAUAUUUUAUUUUAGAAAUGAUAUAAAUGAAAAUAAUGGCUAUUAUUAUAUUAUAAUGGUACAUUAUAAUGAAAAAUAACUGAAAAUAAUAAAAAAAUAAUAGCUAUAUGCUAUCUGCCCCAAUGAUAUAAUGAGAGGUGCUCGAAAUCAUUAUAACAACCACUAAAAUGAUAAUAAUACUAUUAUUUAAAAUCAUGUUGCACCAUAUUGAAGCCAUCAUAGAAAGCAGUUGCUAUUUGCCACUCUUGCUGACUUUUGAUCCAAUUAUUCCUAAUUUUCUCUCACUAGAAAUCCUUGGUUUCUCUUUCUUUUUUAUUUUUUUUCUUACCAGAUAAUAGAUUAUCCAUUGCACUACUAGGAACCACCACAUCUCCCACAACAUCAAAGGAAGUUUCUUGACACUGAAUGAUCAGAAGGGGAUCGCAUAAGUUUGAUGAAAGAAUGGACUCAAUGCUAGAAUUAACUACUGUAUAGGAGACUACACUCCAUCAAGUAUAGAAAAGCAACACAAGAGGGCCUGCAGCUCUCUCUACUUGCAAGGGGAGUAAUUUGUUGUUUGCCAUUCUACCUCAUCCUCUCUUGCUCUCUCUUUCUCUUUCAUUCCCUCCUAGGUUGACACCUCCUCUCUCUCUAUCUCUCUCUCUCAUAUUCCAUCUGUCCAUCCUUUUCUCUCUCCCCCUUCCAACAUAACUCAAAAGCAUCCAUUGCUCCUUAACCUGUUGCUUUACCCUAUAUCUUCCUCCUUCCACCAAGGCCCCCUCACCUAACCCCCCAACCCCCACCAUAUUCAGAUCAAUCCUCAAGCUUAGUUCUUAAAUAGCAAGCAUGGCUCGGACUUUAAUAUCUUAGGUUCUAGGCUGGACUGAGAUAGGCUUAGGCUAAGGUUUUUAAGCUAUUGACAAUAUACUUAGGUUAGGCUUGGACCUAGGUCAUUGCUCAAGUCCAGUGCUCAUUAUCUGUUGAGAUUAAUGGGCACAAACUCACUGUAUCCGGCUUACCAAUUAAGAAUUGGACUCAUUCAGACAUUCCAUCAAACACAUCACAGGCAUGAAAAG
rnacentral:lncRNA from 1 species